CGCACAUGGCGCCUUCUGGUAUUCCGGGAGGCAUGCCUGUUCGAGCGUCGUCCCCCCUCACCAGCCCCGCUGGGUCUUGUGGUCGAUCCACCCUCCGGGGAGGAUCCCCACGAAAGGCAGCGGCGACGAGCAUCGGCCUGGAGCGCAUUGACUUUGUUUUCGCCCCGGGGUCGGAACUCGUUGGCCGAUAAACCACGUAUCUGAUGAUACUUUGACGAUUUGACCUCGGAUCAGGUAGGGAUACCCGCUGAACUUAA
rnacentral:misc_RNA from 1 species